CCUACGUCUAAGAGUGGAGCCACCAGAGAAGCUACGACUUAAAAAAAUAAAAGGCACUCGGAAUUUUUAUUGGGGGGAAUAAGGCACCAGAUCAUCUUUGACACAAAGGAUUUUCUUGUGGCUCCGAAGUUUCAUUAUGAGUGGUAUUGUAAUUGUCUUCAGGUUUAGGAAACUGAGCAGGAAAAUCCACUUUGGUCGGUCGAUCGAAGUAGUGAAACCGGUCGACCGAUGUGAAGCCAAGAAGAAUUACAGGAGUUUCGGGUUGGUCGACCGACGGGCUUGCCCCGGUCGACCAAUAACGUGCACGAGAAGCAGAUUGUAGGAAAACGUUCUGGCUGUCGACCGAUGUGAUGCUAUCGGUCGACCGAUGUUGGAUUUUCAAGUUUCGUGAUUCGGGUUGGAAACUGUUUUGGGCUGAGAUACUAUAUUUACCUUGAACGUUUUAGGGUUUAUAUGACAUACGAAAAAUAGGCUUUUUAAGGGGAAUUUGAGAGAGAAAUCUCAU